rnacentral:misc_RNA from 1 species
UGUUUCAGCUGCUGCAGG